CCUUCCAGUGCAAUACAUGUUGUUAAGGGAUACUAUUCACAAAUAAUUAUAUGUUAAUCAUAAAUCUGUUUAUUUUGAAAUAACUAGAAAACUAUAUGUUUAAUUAAUCAGUCUUUUCCUCGUGGCCUAUUUAAAAGCAUCAUGGUAAUUUGAUGCUAUUUUGCUAGGAUGUGAUGCUAUCUGAAAAGAUUUUCUGAUAUAUUGUGCUCUGGGUGUGAUGCAAUUAUUUCUAAAAACAGUGUUAUAGAUGUGAUAUAUAGAUUCCAUCACUGCAACAAGUCAGUGUGAUACGAUAUAUCUCCAUCUGAUACAGUUAAAUCUU
rnacentral:lncRNA from 1 species